GGUGCCGGUUCGUAAGUCCUACUGGUGGCUGAGUUAUCCGGCAUGUGUUGCAGAUACUCGUCAGCUUGUGUGAGUAGCAUUGUGUAGCUUCGUCAUGACCGUCAGCUUGUGUGAGUAGACCCAUUAUAGCUUUAGUGUGAGCAUUAUAUGUGAUACGAGAUUGAGAUAGCUUUGGCUAUAUCUGUGACACUUAGAGUGCGAGAUUCCUGAGUAUUCGAUAGUAUUCCGAAUGGUUCAACGGGUAAAUCAAUGAUGUGGAUGAGUAUGUAUUUGAUACAAGAUGGGACAGGUAUGUACAUAAACCGUACAAGC
rnacentral:lncRNA from 1 species